rnacentral:rRNA from 1 species
UACGAGGGGUGCAAGCGUUGCUCGGAAUUAUUGGGCGUAAAGGGUAGGUAGGUGGUCUCAUUUGUCCGGGGUGAAAGCCUUGAGCUUAACUCAAGAAGUGCCCCGGAAACGGUGAGACUCGAGUACUGGAGAGGGUCGUGGAAUUCCCGGUGUAGCGGUGAAAUGCGUAGAGAUCGGGAGGAACACCGGUGGCGAAGGCGGCGACCUGGGACAAUACUGACGCUGAGGUGCGAAAGCGUGGGGAGCAAACAGG